rnacentral:rRNA from 1 species
GGGUAGUCCACGCUGUAAACGAUGGGUGCUAGGUCUGGGGAGGUAAACUCUCUGGGCCGAAGCUAACGCGUUAAGCACCCCGCCUGGGGAGUACGGCCGCAAGGCUGAAACUCAAAGGAAUUGACGGGGGCCCGCACAAGCGGUGGAGCACGUGGUUUAAUUCGAUACAAAGCGAAGAACCUUACCUGGGCUUGACAUGCCAGGGUUGUACCCCGGUGGAAACACUGGGGGAGCACAGAGUUUUACUCUGUGCGCUCUGGCACAGGUGCUGCAUGGCUGUCGUCAGCUCGUGUCGUGAGAUGUUGGGUUAAGUCCCGCAACGAGCGCAACCCUCGCCCUUAGUUGCCAGCGGGUAAUGCCGGGCACUCUAAGGGGACUGCCGGGGAUAACCCGGAGGAAGGAGGGGAUGACGUCAAGUCCUCAUGGCCCUUAUGCCCAGGGCUACACACGUGCUACAAUGGGGGGUACAGAGGGGAUGCGAACCGCAAGGGGGGAGCUAAUCCCAGAAAGCCCUACCUCAGUUCGGAUCGGGGUCUG